CGGGUGAGUAAUGCUUGGGAAUCUAGCUUAUGGAGGGGGAUAACUACGGGAAACUGUAGCUAAUACCGCGUAGUAUCGGAAGAUGAAAGUGUGGGACCUUCGGGCCACAUGCCAUAGGAUGAGCCCAAGUGGGAUUAGGUAGUUGGUGAGGUAAAGGCUCACCAAGCCGACGAUCUCUAGCUGGUCUGAGAGGAUGACCAGCCACACUGGGACUGAGACACGGCCCAG
rnacentral:rRNA from 1 species